GCUGCAGCUCGCAGCGAUCCCGCCGCUCGGCAGGCAGCCCCAGCAGCGCUAGCUUUACAUCUGAUGCCGCUGUGGCUCCAGCUAACUCAUUACUGAUAAAACUGGGUUCUCGGCUUUAAAUUACUUAGAAAGUUCUUCCCGACUUGGAAAGUCUGAUCGCUGAGGUGUGAGGGUCAAGGAGUUCCUCGCAGCGUGUUGUGCUCUUUUCUGUAGAUGAGUAGGACUACAGGACUACACAGGAUAAAGAAUUCAACUAAUAAAGAUAAUUUCUUGAUAGGGCUUUUCUUUGAAGCCCCCUCGAUGUGAUAAAGGUAAAAAAACCAAGCCUCGUGCUGCAAACAACAGCUGGCUGCAUUUACCCUUACUCUGCCAAUGAUUUAUUUAAUCAGUGGCAAAAUCUCACCAUGCUGAGAGAGGCAGGGCCCAGCUCCUUGGCGCAGAGCAGCACCCUGUCAGGCUGUUUUUAAAACCCACGUAACAAGAUCGCUUGGAAGGGAGGCUUUAAAACCCAGCUGGCAGCUGAGUAAUGUUAAUUGCUGUCAAGUCUGCCACACAGUUACUGAGGUUUGUAACUUAAACUCAGGGGAGGGGUUAGAUUGCAAACCGAUGGCUAGCAAGGUGAGGCGAAUUACUACGGUUUCCCCGUAUCACAUUGUUCUGGGCAGGCUCACAGAGCCUCUCCAGUUAAAUGUUUCAGAGUCACUGUGAUUUUGAGUGAAGUAUUUACAGUUGCCAUUAAUAGAUUAACAGGCUAAUAAUAUUCAUUGUCUCCAAGAACCCAUUUCUUUGUGGUUCUUGUCCAAGUGUUCAUUUCAACUCUUUUAUUUGCCAGAAGACUUGAGUCUUUGCUUGUUUACGAGAAGAUCAGAUCAUGUUUGACUUGUACCUCACCACCAAGUAAGAAAGAAAAAACACUCAUUUUAAGUAAGGGACAAGGUUCCUUAAUUAAUUAAACCUCAUUGUUCACUUUUGAUAGUCAGGGGAAUUGUGAGCAGUAGGAGAUUGAUAUUGAAAAAAAGAGAAAAAGGCAAUAAAAGGCAUUCUAUAUCUUUGAGAUAGUCAAAUUUUAUCACACCGAUGGUCAGGGCUUGGCAAAACGCCAGCUGCUGGAGGGCUACUUCUAAUUUGAAUGUGCAUCACUAUAAAUAAAAAAUGAAUGUGCUAUGAUUCCAACCACUUAUGUCUUCCAGACUGAGUAAUAACUGCCUGCUGGUUAGGCUCAUUAACAGUAAGAACAGUACCUGAUCGGCUUUGUUUUCAUCUCAUUGAGCUGCCGUUGGGGCCACACUUUAUAUCCCCAGAGGCUGCAUUUUGGGAACUCCUACUGUGUAGAAAAUGUAUGGAAACUGAAAUCUAUGUAUAUAAUCAGGCUGGAUGGUAAGAGGGCUCAGGAAGGAUAUUUGUGCCUUUCAGUGAUUAAAAAAAAAGAUAUGGCAGCAUUUCUAAGAGAGGGGACUCAGAGGGAUUCCUUGAGGAAAUUAGACAUUGUUAAGAAAUGGCUCCGAGUAAAUAGACCGAAACCAAGACAGAGACAGCGAGUCUGAAAUGGAAAAUUGUGAACCAGGGGCAAGAUAUACCACCAACCUCACUGCACUCAGCUGAGAGAGUUUCUACAAUAGUAUGGAGACAAGCUUCUUACCUGGGAACAGGAGCCCAAGGGACGGAUUCUCUGCCAGAGAGUUUUUGCUCAUUAGUGUACAUGGUGACAUUUUGAUUCAAGAGAUUAAUCUUAAAUCACGUGCAGUAGUGUCCCUGUGACAUCUGCGGAUGGAAAUACCGUGCCAUCCUAUAACCCUUCUGUCAGCCUGCUUUACUGCUCAAAAGAAUUGCUCCUUUUAUUUAGUUUCCCCCCCCCCCCUACAUAUUCCUCACAGGUCUUCACAACUAUUUCUUAUUUUACUGACAAAAUGCUAUUGUCAGCAUUGUGCUGUAAUUGCAGAGUACAUUGUGAUCUUAGGCACGGGCCUUGCAAGCUGCUCUGCCUGGGUGGGCUCCAAAACCCACACAGGGCCAACUUGACUUUGGUGGGGGUAGUCUUGUCUGAUGAGCUCAGUUUUCUUUUCUGUUUUUCUAUUUUUGUAGCUCUCGUGGUUGAAAUAGGGAAAUUAAGGGUAGUCUCAUGGAUCAUAAAGCAAAGGAUGAACAAGAAAAACAUUCGGGGUUGAUUCUAUUUAUUUUGUUAUCUUAAAAACAUUUGGUCAAUGGGAUGAUUUUUCAGGGGGCUCAAUCUGAGUGCAAAGGAGUGGAAAACAGUGUCUUCUGCCCUGACACAUAUCAGCGGCUUCACUAAAUGCGUUCUGCCACACUUUAUUGUUGUGUGAGGCAGAAAAAAGUCUUGAAUUUCAUGUCUGACCAUCCCUGUAUAUUUCUCACAUAAGUCAGAUUCUUGGGGAAAGCUGGCCUGUGUCCUGAUAGAAGGACACUGUGUUCAGCACCCAGUCCUGGUAGGAGAAAGUGCUGCACAUUUCUAUCGGUGUGUUUGAGAAUAAGAUCACUUGCUGACUAUAAAUAAAAGUGAGAGGAUAUUGCUGUUGGGGUUUUCUUCUGAAGGGAGCAAAUUUUAAGGCAGUCUUCCAGGGUUACUCCUUCUUGCUUUUCUGAAACCAAAACUGAAGCACAUUUUCUCCACAGAUAAUCCAGUCACUGGAUUGGGAAAAUGCUUCACCCUCUCUUGGGGUGCUCUGCUUCACUCCUACUGCAAACACUGAAGACAGGAGUUUGCAUUUUCCAUACAGCCUUUCUACAACCAGCCCUGCAAAUUCAGCCAUGUCUUAGAGACAAUGGGCUGAGGGAAACAGUGACAACCAGGCUUAAGGAGUCUGCAUUUCUGUGUUACUGAACAUGCUCUUAUAUGCUGGGGUCAGCCUGAGUUUCUUUUCCUUUUCCAUCUCCUUCUCCUCCCUCUCCCUUUCCCUCUCCCUCUCCCUCUCCUCUCCCUCUCCUCUCCUCCUGCUAUACAAUUUCAUCUUCUCUAAGCAUUUGUCCAAUUCCACAGAGAUUUUGCACAGAAUAGCAUUUCUACUGCCUGCUAAUGAUGUAGGGGGAUUUUCCCAAUAUUUCUCUUCCCUUUUUUUGAAAAAGAGACCAAACAACAGCAUUUACUCACAUCUCUGGAUUUCUUCCUUUGCCCAUGUUUUUCCUCCUAAUUCUGUAUUCCUGUGCACUGUCUCCCGCUUUUUCCCAUCUCAUUCUUAGGAGUUUUCUUCUUCUUCACCCUCUUUCUUUCUUGGAUUCUGGACUAACUCCUGCAGCAUAAACUUCCUCAGAUGUUUGACUCCACUAUUGGGAUUUCAUAAGGUCUGUAUUAAAAGAAAAUCUGUAUCUGAUCUUUACAGAGUUACAGCCUCAUUCUUUAAAGUCCUGAUCCACUCCUUGCAAAGACAAACAGACUUCAGAGGUUCUACUCACAGGUCAUCAAACAGAAAAGUCCUUGCAGUAUCAGGACCUAACAAAGUACAUUGUGCAUGAUCCUCAUACAGAUAUUGUUGUUCUGUAGAUGUAUUAUCAUCAUGCAGAAGAAGAACAUCACAUUUACAUGUGUCAAAAAUGCCAGAGACUGCAUGUUGUACUAUGUUGACCUUUGGCUAGAAACAGCAGAGAAUUCAUUUGUUUUGGUAAAUGCUCAGUGUUAUUUCUUGAGGUUUGACCUCAAAAUCAUUCAUAUAUGAGUAGAAAAUGGUGGAAAGUAGCACUCAGCUAUCCUGAAUGUGAAGGCAAAGCAGAGAAAUUUGACCCCUAGUGCUGACUGUUUAUGUUGCAAUACAGGACCAUUCAGAGUGUUCAGCACACUGGAGCAUUAAGUCCCAGGUGCAAUAAAAUUAAACUGAAGCUAGAAAGUAAAAGUGAUAAUAAAAUCAGAAUUGUCUAAUUCUGUCAAUAGUUCAAGAGGAAGAUAUAGGGCUAGAACCUGCUGAAUACAUCACAUUGUUACCUAUUUAAAUAUGUGAAAAGAAAGAUAAACAUUAAAAAUAUAGAACAGAAUAUUUUUUUUCUCCAAUUGCAAAUUUGCCUAUCAUAAGGGGCUUACAAGACAUUGAAUAUUCAGUCAGCUCAGAAUACCUUUGACAAAAGUCUCUGCCUUGAGGACAUUGUUGUUUACAAAUUCAGACCCUCCAUUUUCAUAUGUAAAUCUACAGUGUUCCCUGUUUCACCACCUCGAGAAUAUUCUUGAAGUAAUUUUUGAUCUUUGUCCUUCCUGUCUUCAGUUAAUGACAUUAAUAUGCUCUCCUUGUGUUAGAAACCUUUUUUUUAUAAAACACAAAAGUUUAAGUCUGCUAUGUAGGCAAAAAGAUGCCACUUUCUGUAGAAAAAAAAUCCUUUUGCUGCCUAGAGUUUUCAUUUUCACUACAUUCAUUGUGAAUGCAGUAUAUUUUAAUGCAUACUUAUGAGGACUAAAAUAAAACUGAGGACCUUAUUCUUCUUCCAGUGAAUCCAGUGGCAAAUCACCUCCAAAUGCCAGAACAACUAGAACGGAUUUUACAGUUUGGGUGGGGAAAAAACAAACAAGUUCCUGACAAAUCUCAAAGCCUGGAAAACAAGUCUGAAGAUAAUCUGGCAAACAAGAUGCUUUACAAUUUUCCUGAAGGAAUGUUUGCAACUAACGAUUCACCAGUUCAUCACAGUCUCUCUAAUGCUCGUGAAAACUCAUUUCCCACCCCAGCCUGGGGAGUUGCAUCAGGCUCUUUUGGGAAGAGGGUUUUCUUUGGGUAUUAAUUGUGAGUGUGCAGCUCAGCACUCCUGGUGGGCAGCAAUUCUGAAGAGGAAACACAGCAUUUUCUGUGAUAUGUAAAAAGCAGCACAGCUCACCUUUUCUCCUCUCUGCAGCGGAGUGCAGCUGUCCCGAUACCAAGAUCACAGCAAAGCUUUAUCUGGAAAAGGUCCCUCUGUUUGGCUCCUUUUUAACUCUCCCCUUUUUAUCGGCUGGUGUUUCCAAGAACAGAGUUGAAAGGCUGAGACAGAUUUUCAUUUUUAAUAACUGAGCUUCAGGUUCCCUGAGAAAAAAAUGUUCUCCACUGGAGACAAGAAGGUCCUGUGUCACCCAAAUUCUUUACUUAUUAAAGAGAUAGAUGAGAUCCUCUUACAAAACUACAGUAAAGUAUCUCCUUAAAUCUGGA